rnacentral:rRNA from 1 species
GACGAACGCUGGCGGCAUGCUUAACACAUGCAAGUCGAACGCAGCAUCCAAGCUUGCUUGGAUGGCUGAGUGGUAGACGGGUGAGUAACACGUGGGAAGUUACCCUUUAGACUGGGACAACUAAUGGAAACGGUGGCUAAUAACGGAUACGUCCGGAGGGGGAAAGCAGAAAGGCGCUAAGGGGGAGGCCCGCGGCAGAGUAGGUAGUUGGAGGGGUAAAGGCCUACCAAGCCUGUGAGCUGUAGCUGGUUUGAGAGGAUGGUCAGCCACACUGGGACUGAGACACGGCCCAGACUGCUACAGGAGGCAGCAGGGGGAAUAUUGGACAAUGGGGGAAACCCUGAUCCAGCAAUGCCGCGUGAAUGAAGAAGGCCUUAGGGUUGUAAAGUUCUUUUGUCCGUGACGAUAAUGACGGUAGCGGACGAAUAAGCCCUGGCUAACUCUGUGCCAGCAGCCGCCGUAAGAC